GCCGCCCGUGUGGAUGUGGAACACAGUUUAAUUUGUUUUAAUUUGUUUGCAAUGCGCACUUUUAUGCUGCCCGCUUGAAACCACCACCACCUCCGUUUUUAUCAUUAGUCUUAUUGCCCUCGUUUUCUUAAGCGCCAUCUUAUCAUCACCUCUGAUUUGCAGGUUUCCUGGAUGAACUACAUUUCCCAUAAUGCAUGUUUGCCCAGGACAUUGACGGUGGAGGAAGGUCCAUGAGUUUUCGCUGUUCGCCGGUAAUGCAAGUGCGUACUGCUCAAGUGUGUGAUUGUGAGAUCAUCUCGAAAUCCUUUUAACAGUUCAGGUAGGAUGUAUUAUGAAAUAGUGUUACUAAUGUAAUACAUUGCUAAAACCAAGUAUAGAGUGUAUUUGUUAUAAUUCAUUGGUAUUAGAUUUAAAAGGUGAUCGAAUAGCUCCUG